UACGUAGGUGACAAGCGUUGUCCGGAUUUACUGGGCGUAAAGAGCGCGCAGGCGGUCGUUCAAGUCGAGUGUGAAAGCCCCCGGCUCAACUGGGGAGGGUCACUCGAUACUGAUCGACUCGAAGGCAGGAGAGGGAAGUGGAAUUCCCGGUGUAGUGGUGAAAUGCGCAGAUAUCAGGAAGAACACCCGUGGCGAAGGCGGCUCUCUGGAACGCAACUGACGCUGAGACGCGAAAGCGUGGGGAGCAAACAGG
rnacentral:rRNA from 1 species